UCAUUUAGUCUGAGGCAAAUUGUUGUUGUGGUAAUUGUUCGAUAUGAGAUGGUUAUUUAUAGAGCAGAGUCUAAGGUUUUGGUUUGCAUCGGUUUGACAGUUUGAGAAUAUCUUGGAGAGCAAGUAGAAAAAUCAUAGAUACGAAUCAAAAAUUAGAAUAAUACUCACAUGUUUAAGGGGAAGAUUGUGAAUCAUUAUAU